UACGUAGGGGGCAAGCGUUGUCCGGAUUUAUUGGGCGUAAAGAGCGUGUAGGCGGCCAGGUAGGUCUGCUGUGAAAACUCGAGGCUCAACCUCGAGACGUCGGCGGAAACCAUCUGGCUAGAGUCCGGAAGAGGAGAGUGGAAUUCCUGGUGUAGCGGUGAGAUGCGCAGAUAUCAGGAAGAACACCCGUGGCGAAGGCGGCUCUCUGGGACGGUACUGACGCUGAGACGCGAAAAGCGUGGGGAGCGAACAGG
rnacentral:rRNA from 1 species